GACAGAGGGUGCGAACGUUGUUCGGAAUUACUGGGCGUAAAGCGCGUGUAGGCGGCAGCGCAAGUCGGGCGUGAAAUCCCACGGCUCAACCGUGGAAGUGCACUCGAAACUGCGCAGCUAGAGUCCUGGAGAGGAAGGUGGAAUGCUUGGUGUAGAGGUGAAAUUCGUAGAUAUCAAGCAGAACACCUGCGGCGAAGGCGGCCUUCUGGACGAUGACUGACGCUGAGACACGAAAGCGUGGGGAGCAAACAGG
rnacentral:rRNA from 1 species